UGUAGCUGUCGCUGAGAGUAUUGUUUAUUCAUUUAUUUUUUGUUGUUUUGAUGGUUUUGUGUAUGGAUGCUUUUGUUUAUGUAGUUGACGAUGUAUAUUGAGUUGUGAUUAUGAUGACCCCUGCUGGUCAUGUGAUGGGCGCACUGAAUGGUGGGAAAAAUGUGCAGUCUGUUUUUUUUUGGAGCUACGAUAUAUGAGCGGAGUUCGAGUUUGGCAGCUCCUGAUUUUCUGGUUGGAAGGCGCACACGUUUUUCACGGUGUUUGGUUCAGUUUGGAAAAGAUAGACAAUAAAGCUCAAUCAAACAUC